rnacentral:rRNA from 1 species
AUUCCUACGGGAGGCAGCAGUAGGGAAUCUUCCACAAUGGACGAAAGUCUGAUGGAGCAAUGCCGCGUGAGUGAAGAAGGUUUUCGGAUCGUAAAGCUCUGUUGUUGAAGAAGAACAUAUGUGAGAGUAACUGUUCACGUACUGACGGUAUUCAACCAGAAAGCCACGGCUAACUACGUGCCAGCAGCCGCGGUAAUAAU